UGCAGCAUGUGUGUGUCUCUGUUGAACUGCUGGACAAAGACUUAAAGACAGGUGCAAAAGGCAAUUCUCUUUUGCAACCUGGAACUCUCUCGUCAGAAUGAGUUUUGAUAUGUGUAGAAGGAGUCCA
rnacentral:snoRNA from 1 species